rnacentral:rRNA from 1 species
CGCGCAGGCGGCCAUUUUUGUCAGGCGUGAAAGCCCCGGGCUUAACCUGGGAAUUGCGCUUGAAACGGGAUGGCUAGAGAUCGGGAGAGGAGAGUGGAAUUCCCAGUGUAGAGGUGAAAUUCGUAGAUAUUGGGAAGAACACCGGUGGCGAAGGCGGCUCUCUGGACCGAUACUGACGCUGAGGCGCGAAAGCGUGGGGAGCAAACAGGAUUAGAUACCCUGGUAGUCCACGCUGUAAACGAUGUGUGCUAGACGUUGGGGAGCCUAGCUCUUCGGUGUCGCAGCUAACGCGGUAAGCACACCGCCUGGGGAGUACGGCCGCAAGGUUAAA